rnacentral:misc_RNA from 1 species
CUUCAAUGAUGGCAAUCGGUUGUCCCUAAAUAUAUUUCCGCCUUUCGUUUCUCCUUGUUGAGGGAUGCUAGGUGGACCAUGAAGUGAUGUCUAUGCCCCAAUCCACUCACAUUCAAUUGUGCUUGUAGCUUGGAGCAUAGGAAUUUACUUGAUCUCUUGGAUGCGGUGCACUUUAAUUGGGCAUGAGGCUAACAUCCUCUCUUUGUCCAACAAUUGCUUCCAUUGCGAACGAUUGCUAUCAUCGUUUCGAGCCUUUUGGCAAGUGCGGUGAUGGCAUCGUUUAGG